rnacentral:rRNA from 1 species
GUCUCAGUUCGGAUUGGAGUCUGNAACCCGACUCCAUGAAGCUGGAUUCGCUAGUAAUCGCGCAUCAGCCACGGCGCGGUGAAUACGUUCCCGGGCCUUGUACACACCGCCCGUCAAGCCAUGGAAGCCGGGGGUGCCUGAAGUGCGCUGCCGCGAGGAGCGCCCUAGGGUAAAACCGGUGACUGGGGCUAAGUCGUAACAAGGUAGC